rnacentral:rRNA from 1 species
GGGGUGGCGCAGCCUACACAUGCAAGUCGAACGGUAACAGAAAGCAGCUUGCUGCUUUGCUGACGAGUGGCGGACGGGUGAGUAAUGUCUGGGAAACUGCCUGAUGGAGGGGGAUAACUACUGGAAACGGUAGCUAAUACCGCAUAACGUCGCAAGACCAAAGAGGGGGACCUUCGGGCCUCUUGCCAUCGGAUGUGCCCAGAUGGGAUUAGCUUGUUGGUGGGGUAACGGCUCACCAAGGCGACGAUCCCUAGCUGGUCUGAGAGGAUGACCAGCCACACUGGAACUGAGACACGGUCCAGACUCCUACGGGAGGCAGCAGUGGGGAAUAUUGCACAAUGGGCGCAAGCCUGAUGCAGCCAUGCCGCGUGUAUGAAGAAGGCCUUCGGGUUGUAAAGUACUUUCAGCGGGGAGGAAGGGAGUAAAGUUAAUACCUUUGCUCAUUGACGUUACCCGCAGAAGAAGCACCGGCUAACUCCGUGCCAGCAGCCGCGGUAAUACGGAGGGUGCAAGCGUUAAUCGGAAUUACUGGGCGUAAAGCGCACGCAGGCGGUUUGUUAAGUCAGAUGUGAAAUCCCCGGGCUCAACCUGGGAACUGCAUCUGAUACUGGCAAGCUUGAGUCUCGUAGAGGGGGGUAGAAUUCCAGGUGUAGCGGUGAAAUGCGUAGAGAUCUGGAGGAAUACCGGUGGCGAAGGCGGCCCCCUGGACGAAGACUGACGCUCAGGUGCGAAAGCGUGGGGAGCAAACAGGAUUAGAUACCCUGGUAGUCCACGCCGUAAACGAUGUCGACUUGGAGGUUGUGCCCUUGAGGCGUGGCUUCCGGAGCUAACGCGUUAAGUCGACCGCCUGGGGAGUACGGCCGCAAGGUUAAACUCAAAUGAAUUGACGGGGGCCCGCACAAGCGGUGGAGCAUGUGGUUAAUUCGAUGCACGCGAAAAACCUUACCUGGUCUUGACUCCCCGAACUUUCCAAGAUGGAUUGUGCUUCGGAACUGGGAACAGUGUUGAUGCUGUCUCACUCGGUUGGAAUG